GAGCAGCUCCGGCGCCUAGUCGCCGGUGCCACCGGCGGCGCGCAUUUCUUAAGAUAUAGCAAAGCGCGCAACCCGCGUGCUCAAAUCGGCGCUCUGCUAGCUCAAAGUACGUUCGGAAUGAGACGCAGAGCGUUGUUGCGCAGACACGCUUGAAUAAUAUGGGCGUAGAACACGAAAGGUCCCGGAGGAGCGCGCAAUAUCAGCGCCGCUCAAGGCAACCCACAACGAGUGCCAAGUUCUGGCAAUAACCUGCUCCAGUUUUGCCGGCUGUUCGCGCAAGACUGGAUCCCUCAAACUUGGUUGCCAUCACCAGCAGACACAGGCAGGCAGUGGAUGAGACAAUUUGCAAACUCCAAACAAUGGCACCCCAUGUUGUCUGUUGCUAUUUUUCAUUUGAGGAGGGCAUUGCGAUAGCCAUCCUACAUUGCACAUUGUUAAAAUUUGAUUACAAGCGCUCAGAAAGCAUUGAGUUCUAAAAUUGAAUCGAAUAUCAGAUAUUUUCAUAUCCUAAUAGUAUAUAUACGAUAGAUUGGUAUGAUGGAAGCUUAACAUUACCAACAAAGCUUUAGUGAACACCACCAAUAUAUGUCGCACUGUCCACAGAACAGCUGUAACGACACUAAAGGAAAAGGUGAUAACAUGAAAAAGGGAAAGUGAUCAUGUUUUCUGCAACAUUUACACAACAAAAGAAAUGAACUGAGGAUGAUGCUAGAUUCUUAGAGAGAGAAAGCGGUUCACUAGGUAUAAAAGUGUACGGUCAAUAUCAGACACAGGCAAAGGUAGUUAUAAUACUAUAGAACACAGCGAAACACUUUAGUGAUGCAGGCAUAGCUACUUCCAUGAAAACAAAACUUGUUUCGUUAACUCAAGAUAUCAAAC